GCGCUUUGCGAAUUCACGGGUCUUAUCUUGUGGUAUGAACUAAGUAAUGAUUUAUGGUGCGUAUUGGGGGCUUACCAUAAGAUAAUGCCAUGAAUUCGCAAAGCGU
rnacentral:pre_miRNA from 1 species